rnacentral:rRNA from 1 species
AUUGAACGCUGGCGGCAUGCCUUACACAUGCAAGUCGAACGGUAACAGGUCUUCGGACGCUGACGAGUGGCGAACGGGUGCGUAAUGCAUCGGAACGUGCCCAGUCGCGGGGGAUAACUGCUCGAAAGAGCAGCUAAUACCGCAUACGACCUGAGGGUGAAAGCGGGGGACCGUAAGGCCUCGCGCGAUUGGAGCGGCCGAUGUCAGAUUAGCUAGUUGGUGGGGUAAAGGCCUACCAAGGCAACGAUCUGUAGUUGGUCUGAGAGGACGACCAGCCACACUGGGACUGAGACACGGCCCAGACUCCUACGGGAGGCAGCAGUGGGGAAUUUUGGACAAUGGGCGCAAGCCUGAUCCAGCAAUGCCGCGUGCAGGAAGAAGGCCUUCGGGUUGUAAACUGCUUUUGUCAGGGAAGAAAUCUUCUGGGCUAAUACCCCGGGAGGAUGACGGUACCUGAAGAAUAAGCACCGGCUAACUACGUG